ensembl:snRNA U6 U6 spliceosomal RNA
GUGCUCAUUUCAGCAGCACAUAUACUAAAAUCAGAAUGAUACAGAGAAGAUUAGCAUGGCCCCUGGGCAAGGAUGACAUGCAGAUUCGUGAACUAUCUAUGUCCUUU